rnacentral:rRNA from 1 species
GAUGAACGCGGGCGGCGUGCCUAAUACAUGCAAGUCGAGCGAACAGACGAGGAGCUUGCUCCUCUGACGUUAGCGGCGGACGGGUGAGUAACACGUGGAUAACCUACCUAUAAGACUGGGAUAACUUCGGGAAACCGGAGCUAAUACCGGAUAAUAUAUUGAACCGCAUGGUUCAAUAGUGAAAUACGGUUUUGCUGUCACUUAUAGAUGGAUCCGCGCCGCAUUAGCUAGUUGGUAAGGUAACGGCUUACCAAGGCAACGAUGCGUAGCCGACCUGAGAGGGGGAUCGGCCACACUGGAACUGAGACACGGUCCAGACUCCUACGGGAGGCAGCAGUAGGGAAUCUUCCGCAAUGGGCGAAAGCAUGACGGAGCAACGCCGCGUGAGUGAUGAAGGUCUUCGGAUCGUAAAACUCUGUUAUUAGGGAAGAACAAAUGUGUAAGUAACUAUGCACGUCUUGACGGUACCUAAUCAGAAAGCCACGGCUAACUACGUG